UGGUAAAUGUAGUCUUAAAUCUAGC
rnacentral:piRNA from 1 species